rnacentral:sRNA from 1 species
UGCGUUUCGGUUUGAGGGGUGGGGCAGC